rnacentral:lncRNA from 1 species
AUGAAAUUUAAACACAAUGUUAAUGACUACAAAAGGAAGGUUGGUAUUGAUUUUGGGAGUUUAGGUCCCAACAGUUUAGGAAUUAGGGGCCAAAAAGGGACCCAAAUAAGCAUUUUUCUUGGUUUUCGCACCAUAACGUUAGUAUAAGUAAAUAAAAUUCUAUGAAAUUUAAACACAAGGUUUAUGACCAUAAAAGAAAGG